UUGUUUUUGCCUCACCUCUGCGUUCUUGGGUGAUAUUUAGGGAGAAUAGGUUGUGCAUGUCGUCGUCCUGUUUGUUUUUCUUCCAUUGAGAGUUUGUUUGUUCCUUGCAUGUGAUUAAUUUGGCGUUUUGGUUUUUCUGAUGAGCUCUGUGUUUUCAUUUGUUCUUAGGAAGGAGAGGGAUGAUGAGGUUUGGAUUUUGUUAGAUCAAAAGGUGUUGGGGUGAUUAGCGUGAUCUUCUCUGUUUCUUUCUGUGUUUGUUCUUGGCUGGGCUUUUCGCAUCUAAAGAUUCUUCGGUGUGUGAUUGAUUUGUGGUAGGAGAGGUAGAGUGAUUGUGGAGGAAAUGGAAGAAGAAUUGACAGCAGAAGAUUAACAGGCUGCAUCAUAUUUUUGUGUGGAUAGAGAUAUUCUUUGGAGGCUCUACAAAGAAUACGACUUUAGUUUUGUUAUUUCUCAAACAGAGAGGAGAGGAAUCCUUCUUGCUUGAAAGACGGAGAAGGAAGAAGAGAGGAGCUUUUGUUUGCUUGAAAGAAAAGAACUGGAAGGGAUUUCAAUAAACAAAAACGGGAGGUGGUAGUAUUGCUCUGUUCUCUGAUUUUUGGAUUGUUGUUCUUUGCUUCCUUGAUGCAGUUGCCUUUCUCUUGAGUAUGAUCAAAACAAUUCCUACUGCACGGUCUGUUAGCAGAAUAUCAGAAGAGAUCAGAGACGAGAACUUCUCCCUCUUGCCACCUGUCCUAUCUUUCAAGAUCAGCAUUGCAGAUUAGCAUAGAGAGAGCUUGAACAUCAACUUCAACUUCAGCUAUUACUUUGCAAGUUUGAUGGAUGAAUUUGAAUUUACCUAUUCAGAUUUUUUGUUAAAACUUAAUAAAAUGAAAACUGUUCGUCUUUUAUUUUUAUUUUUUUCCUGAUGAGAUCUAUGUUUACUCAGGGUUCUAAAAAUCGGCCUAGGCGGCCGCCUAGGCUCUAGGCACAUCAGUUCCAUUCCGAUUUCCCCCUAGUCGAGCGAGCUGGGCGCUGGGGAUAAAGUCGGCCGCCUAGGUGGGGCUGAGCGGUCCUGGGUGGGGGCUGGGCGGUCGGCGCCUAAGCGUUUGGGUUUUUUUUUUUUUUUUUUUUUUUUUUUUUUUUCUCUUAACCAAAACGCGAAGAUAGGUGAGAGAACCCUAUUUUCUGGGUUGAAAGUCAAAACUCAAAACGCGAAACGCUCCGUCGCUCUCUCUUUUGGGUUUCGUCGCUCCGUCGCUCUCUCUCUAUCCUACAGGCUCUCUCUCGAUCAGUCGAUUGACUCGAUUCUCAGUCGCUCUCCGGCCAGCUCUUUAGCUCUCCAACUCGCAAGGCUUUCUGGGUUUGAUUUUGGGUUGGAUUUCUGGGUUCAAGGCUUCAAGCUCGGUGAUUCUUCAACCUCGAAGCUUGGUGAUUCUUCAUUCUUCAAGCUCGAUUUCUGGGUUCAAUUGGUGAUUCUUCAAGCUCGAUUUAUGGGUUUUGGAUUCGGUGUUUCUGCAAGCUCGCAGUGAGAUUUCAGAGAGAGACGGCAGGCAGCUAGCAAUCCAGACAAAAAGCCCCGCAAGGAAGGAAGCACUGAAUUAGCAACAUCAUCCACAAACACUAUGAACAAGGAAAAAAUGGACUGAAAUAUCAUGUCACUUUUUGCGUAAAUAGAAAUGGAGGCAGCAACUUUUUGGACAACCUCCACAGCUAAUCAUCACUAGGCUAACAACCUCUCAGCAACUGACGUCACUUUUGAUAUAGUCACUAGGUUAGUCUAUAAGUAGAUCACUGUAUUUUGGAGAAGCUGUUUUAACAGCAUUUGUAAUAUAUAUUUGAACAUUACCAGAACAUCUAUAUUAAUGGUAAUGUUAGCUCCUGAUAUGGAGCAUGAAUCGAUGUAUUUUUGAGAAGCUGUUUUAACAGCAGUUGUUUUAUAUAUAUUAACUAAAUGUUGUCA